GAUGAACGCUGGCGGCGUGCCUAAUACAUGCCAGUCGAGCGAACAGACGAGGAGCUUGCUCCUCUGACGUUAGCGGCGGACGGGUGAGUAACACGUGGUUAACCUACCUAUAAGACUGGGAUAACUUCGGGAAACCGGAGCUAAUACCGGAUAAUAUAUUGAACCGCAUGGUUCAAUAGUGAAAGACGGUUUUGCUGUCACUUAUAGAUGGAUCCGCGCCGCAUUAGCUAGUUGGUAAGGUAACGGCUUACCAAGGCGACGAUGCGUAGCCGACCUGAGAGGGUGAUCGGCCACACUGGAACUGAGACACGGUCCAGACUCCUACGGGAGGCAGCAGUAGGGAAUCUUCCGCAAUGGGCGAAAGCCUGACGGAGCAACGCCGCGUGAGUGAUGAAGGUCUUCGGAUCGUAAAACUCUGUUAUUAGGGAAGAACAAAUGUGUAAGUAACUAUGCACGUCUUGACGGUACCUAAUCAGAAAGCCACGGCUAACUACGUG
rnacentral:rRNA from 1 species